UUAAGUAACAGUGUCACACGGAUUAAACCU
rnacentral:piRNA from 1 species